UACGGAGGGGGCUAGCGUUGUUCGGAAUUACUGGGCGUAAAGCGCACGUAGGCGGCUUUGUAAGUUAGAGGUGAAAGCCCGGAGCUCAACUCCGGAACUGCCUUUAAGACUGCAUCGCUUGAACGUCGGAGAGGUAAGUGGAGUUCCGAGUGUAGAGGUGAAAUUCGUAGAUAUUCGGAAGAACACCAGUGGCGAAGGCGACUUACUGGACGACUGUUGACGCUGAGGUGCGAAAGCGUGGGGAGCAAACAGG
rnacentral:rRNA from 1 species